ACUAGCAUAGUUUAAAUAAUAUAAAACAGUAAUUUUGUAAAUUACAAUUGACUACAAGUAGUUUGCUAGUU
rnacentral:tRNA from 1 species